AACCUUUACACUGCACGACAGUGCGAUAAGGGAAUCCCAAGUGCGUAGGCAUAGAGCCUACGCUUUUGUCCACCGUAGGGAGGUGGACGAAUAAGGGCUGGGCAAGAUCGGUGCCAGCCGCCGCGGUAAUACCGGCAGCCCGAGUGAUGGCCGAUCUUAUUGGGCCUAAAGCGUCCGUAGCUGGCCGCGCAAGUUCGUCGGGAAAUCCACGCGCUUAACGUGUGGGCGUCCGGCGAAAACUGUGCGGCUUGGGACCGGAAGAUCUGAGGGGUACGUCUGGGGUAGGAGUGAAAUCCCGUAAUCCUGGACGGACCACCAAUGGGGAAACCACCUCAGGAAGACGGACCCGACGGUGAGGGACGAAAGCUAGGGUCUCGAACCGGAUUAGAUACCCGGGUAGUCCUAGCUGUAAACGAUGCUCGCUAGGUGUGCCGUAGGCUACGAGCCUGCGCUGCGCCCUAGGGAAGCCGAGAAGCGAGCCGCCUGGGAAGUACGUCCGCAAGGAUGAAACUUAA
rnacentral:rRNA from 1 species